GACGAACGCUGGCGGCGUGGAUUAGGCAUGCAAGUCGAACGGUAUCAUCCUUUCGGGGGUGAGAGAGUGGCGAACUGGUGAGUAACACGUAGGUUAAUCUACCCUCAAGACGGGGACAACCCAGGGAAACUUGGGCUAAUACCGGAUGAAAGCAGCAGUGAUGUUGUUUGAAAGGUGGCGUAAGCUGCCGUUUGGGGAUGAGCCUGCGCUCUAUUAGUUAGUUGGCGGGGUAAAGGCCCACCAAGGCGAUGAUAGAUAGGCGGCCUUAACGGGUGGUCGCCCACACUGGGAUUGAGAUACGGCCCAGACUCCUACGGGAGGCAGCAGUCGAGAAUAGUCUACAAUGGCCGAAAGGCUGAUAGUGCGACGCCGCGUGAACGAAGAAGCCCUUCGGGGUGUAAAGUUCUUUUAUAUGUGAGCAGUGCUUUCUAUGUGAACAGCAUGGGGAAGAGAUAUUAGCAUAUGAAUAAGCAACGGCUAACUCCGUGCCAGCAGCCG
rnacentral:rRNA from 1 species